UACAGAGGUCUCAAGCGUUGUUCGGAUUCAUUGGGCGUAAAGGGUGCGUAGGUGGUGAUGCAAGUCUGGUGUGAAAUCUCGGAGCUCAACUCCGAAAUUGCACCGGAUACUGCGUGACUCGAGGACUGUAGAGGAGAUCGGAAUUCACGGUGUAGCAGUGAAAUGCGUAGAUAUCAGGAGGAACACCAAUAGCGAAGGCAGCUCGCUGGGACGGUAUUGACGCUAAGGCGCGAAAGCGUGGGGAGCAAACAGGGAUUAAGAA
rnacentral:rRNA from 1 species